GUCAGGUAUUUUCUUCAGGCUCUUGUUGAACAUCUGUAGUCACCUCUCCUUGGGUGUGAGCAUACUCAAAUAAUGGGCACAGAUCUCUAAUUGCUCCCAUGAUCAGGUUUCUCUGAUGAUUCCAUCUACCUUUUUGUGAUGGGCCUGUCCAGAUAAUGCAGAUACAUUAUUGGUGGGUAGCUAGUCCAACACCAGGAACUUCAAAAGAAGAGUACCUCUCCCCCUGACAUUCUGACAAAGUCCAAACCAGCUCCCAUUGAAACUGACAAGAUCUUCAUGACUUCAAUGAGAGUCAGCUGGAGUCCAAAGAUGUUGUAUUUCAUAGACUAAUCCAGUGUAUUAAUCUUAACUUGGCUUUUGGACUUACAUUUGAUUAAAUUAAUUG